rnacentral:rRNA from 1 species
AAAGCAUUCUCUGGUGUUGAAGGCCCUGCAAAGCAGCAUCGCGGUGGCGGAGCGUCGUUUGCGACGCCCAACACACAAAACAAGCGGUGAGUGCUUUGGGGUGGGGUGACUGCGUACCUUUUGUAUAAUGGGUCAGCGACUUAUAUUCUGUAGCAAGGUUAACCGAAUAGGGGAGCCGGAGGGAAACCGAGUCUUAACCGGGCGUUAAGUUGCAGGGUAUAGACCCGAAACCCGGUGAUCUAGCCAUGGGCAGGUUGAAGGUUGGGUAACACUAACUGGAGGACCGAACCGACUAAUGUUGAAAAAUUAGCGGAUGACCUGUGGCUGGGGGUGAAAGGCCAAUCAAACCGGGAGAUAGCUGGUUCUCCCCGAAAGCUAUUUAGGUAGCGCCUCGUGAAUUCAUCUCCGGGGGUAGAGCACUGUUUCGGCUAGGGGGCCAUCCCGGCUUACCAACCCGAUGCAAACUGCGAAUACCGGAGAAUGUUAUCACGGGAGACACACGGCGGGUGCUAACGUCCGUCGUGAAGAGGGAAACAACCCAGACCGCCAGCUAAGGUCCCAAAGUCAUGGUUAAGUGGGAAACGAUGUGGGAAGGCCCAGACAGCCAGGAUGUUGGCUUAGAAGCAGCCAUCAUUUAAAGAAAGCGUAAUAGCUCACUGGUCGAGUCGGCCUGCGCGGAAGAUGUAACGGGGCUAAACCAUG